GAAAUGCGAUAAGUAGUGUGAAUUGCAGAAUUCAGUGAAUCAUCGAAUCUUUGAACGCACAUUGCGCCCUUUAGUAUUCCUUAGGGCAUGCCUGUUCGAGCGUCAUCUAAACCUUCAAGCACUGCUUAGUGUUGGGUGCCUGUCCUGCCCCCGCGCGUGGACUUACCUUAAAUCCAUUGGCGGCCCUCACGUCGGCUUCGAGCGCAGCAGAAACGCGAACUUGACGCCUGUUAGAGCGGCUCCUAGAAGCUACAUUCACCAUUUUGACCUUGGAUCAGGUAGGGAUACCUGCUGAACUUAA
rnacentral:misc_RNA from 1 species